rnacentral:rRNA from 1 species
GACGAACCGUGCGAACGUUGUUCGGAAUCACUGGGCUUAAAGGGCGCGUAGGCGGUUCCCCAAGUCUGGGGUGAAAUCUUUCGGCUUAACCGGAAAAGGGCCUGGGAUACUGGGGAACUGGAGGGAGGUAGGGGCAGCUGGAACUUCCAGUGGAGCGGUGAAAUGCGUUGAUAUUGGAAGGAACUCCGGUGGCGAAAGCGAGCUGCUGGACCUCCGCUGACGCUGAGGCGCGAAAGCCAGGGGAGCAAACGGGAUUAGAAACCCCCGUAGUCC